GUCGAGCGGAAACGAAGAGUAGCUUGCUACUCUGGCGUCGAGCCGCNNNACGGGUGAGUAAUGCUUGGGAACAUGCCUUGAGGUGGGGGACAACAGUUGGAAACGACUGCUAAUACCGCAUAAUGUCUACGGACCAAAGGGGGCUUCGGCUCUCGCCUUUAGAUUGGCCCAAGUGGGAUUAGCUAGUUGGUGAGGUAAUGGCUCACCAAGGCGACGAUCCCUAGCUGGUUUGAGAGGAUGAUCAGCCACACUGGGACUGAGACACGGCCCAGACUCCUACGGGAGGCAGCAGUGGGGAAUAUUGCACAAUGGGCGCAAGCCUGAUGCAGCCAUGCCGCGUGUGUGAAGAAGGCCUUCGGGUUGUAAAGCACUUUCAGUCAGGAGGAAAGGUUAGUAGUUAAUACCUGCUAGCUGUGACGUUACUGACAGAAGAAGCACCGGCUAACUCCGUGCCAGCAGCCGCGGUAAUACGGAGGGUGCGAGCGUUAAUCGGAAUUACUGGGCGUAAAGCGUACGCAGGCGGUUUGUUAAGCGAGAUGUGAAAAGCCCCNGGGCUCAANCCUGGGAACUGCAUUUCGAACUGGCAAACUAGAGUGUGAUAGAGGGUGGUAGAAUUUCAGGUGUAGCGGUGAAAUUGCGUAANANAUCUUNAAGGAAUACCCGANUGGCGNAAGGCAGCC
rnacentral:rRNA from 1 species